GGGUGAUGUUCUCUCAUGCGCUGUGUCACGGGAUGCUAUUUCGAAUCUUCCUGAGAUUAGAAAAAGGAUUACAAUCGCCCCCAGGGCCUUGCUGUGUAAUUUCUAUCAGUCUUGAUCUGAAGCUCUCUGAGAGAAAGCAGACAUCUGCCACCACGCACUGAGCAUGGCGCUUAGCAGAGUGGCCCCUGGGGAUGACUGUAGCAGUGCAGGAGGACGGCUGGCUUCGUGGGCCUCUUCUGACUCUGCAGGCUCUGGAGAAAACACUCCGGAAGGGCUUCUGUGUGGUCCAAGGUAACUCUCACCCACAUCUCUCUCGUGCCAGGAUGUUGCUGUUAGUCUUUAAUC
rnacentral:lncRNA from 1 species